rnacentral:rRNA from 1 species
GAUGAACGCUCGCGGGAGGCCUAACACAUGCAAGCCGAGCGGUAGAGUUUCUUCGGAAACUUGAGAGCGGCGCACGGGUGCGUAACACGUGUGCAACCUACCUUUAUCUGGGGGAUAGCCUUUCGAAAGGAAGAUUAAUACCCCAUAAUAUAAUGAUUGGCAUCAAUUAUUAUUGAAAACUCCGGUGGAUAGAGAUGGGCACGCGCAAGAUUAGAUAGUUGGUGAGGUAACGGCUCACCAAGUCAAUGAUCUUUAGGGGUCCUGAGAGGGAGAUCCCCCACACGGGUACUGAGACAAGGACGAGACUCCUACGGGAGGCAGCAGUAAGGAAUAUUGGACAAUGGGUGAGAGCCUGAUCCAGCCAUCCCGCAUGAAGGAUGACGGUCCUAUGGAUUGUAAACUUCUGUUGUACAGGGAUAAACCUACCCUCGUGAGGGUAGCUGAAGGUACUGUACGAAUAAGCACCGGCUAACUCCGUG